AGCUCAUAUCCGGCUACUCGGCCGUACAUUGAAGGUGGAGUUGUUGUCAAUAUCUCGAGUAAAGUUUGACCGAAUUUCAUGAUUUUUGUUUUUUGUUUGAAAGGUAUUAACGAUACUAAAGCUCCAGUACUAUUUCUGGUCUAGCAAAAUGGCUGCAGGCGGCCAUAUUGGUUUUUAGUGAAAGGUAAAUAUAAUGGGGGAAAUGGUACAUAGAGAGUUUUUUGUUAACAGAGAAGUAAUUGGUUAUCUUGUGUUGGGUGACAGCCGAAUAGAAUGUUGUUGAAAAAAAAUUAAA